rnacentral:lncRNA from 10 species
CUUUCCUGCAUCUGCCCUCCCAAAGGCUCACUUUGCUGCUCAGGUGCAUAGCACUGGGCCUGCAGUGUGCCUAGGGAAUGGCUCUUGGCUGGGGUGUUCGACUCGUGAACUCGGAGAGGCAGGUUGAGAAAUUCCAUCUGAAGAGUUUGGGCUUAGAGCUCCCUCGUAACUUAGAGAUGAUUUUUUAAAGGACUCAGGUGUCCAUCUUUGGUUCAGAAAAGAUGAUCUUGUACCUAAAUGUCUCCCAUGUUGCCAUUCCAGUCUCAAAUGUCAUACUGCAACAAGAAAAUAAAAUGGUCCACACAUAAAUGAAUGCUUGAUGUACAAUAAAGGUGCACUGCAGGGCAGCGGGAGAAAAAAGUCUUUCCAAUAAGUGGCACUAGGACAAUUGCGUACCAUGCUGGAAAAAGAAGAAAUUGAACUCCUAACUCACACAAAAGUCAAUUCCAGAGUUGAAUGGAACUGAUAUAAACAAUAGGCCGCCGAAUGACUAGUUGGUCAUCUGAAGGAAGAAUACCAAUAAGAAAAGGUCUUUCUUUCAUGAAACAGGUAAUGGAGAACUGAAAGCUCAUGGUGUGUUCAGAGAACAGCUAGCAGAGGAGAGGAGGAAAGAAGAGAAGGAAGGAAGAAGAUCAAGCUGAAAUGGUACUACGGGGACUCUUAAUGCUCCAUUAAGCCAAAUGGUUUGGACUUCAUCUGCUGGCCAUGGUGGCUACAACUGGAGCAGCCAUUUGGGUGGUGAGGUGAGUUCAAGAUGGAAGCCAAGCACAACCUAGAAGGACCCUGACUCCCUGACACCAUGGUUUGCCAUAUGGGACCUGGACUGAUUCCCUUUGGAACUUUAUCUGAGAGAAAUAAACUUCUGUCUUGCUUAAGCCAUUUUUAUGGUGUCUUUCUGUCAUUUGUAGCUAAUCCUAAUCCUAAUUUUUACAUUAUCCUUCCAUAAGCUGUGAAGAGCCACAAAAAGUUUUAU